AAUGCAAAGUGUUAAGCAGGACUGCGCGGGCUUGGGCGGCACACGGCCACAGACUUCACUGUACAUAUCGCGUAACAUCCCCGACUCCAGGCUGCAGCAACUAUCUGGUCCCUCCCCCUCCUCGUUCUGCACCCGAGCCGUCCGUACUCACAGCCAACCAGACAGGCAUCAGCAGCACCACAGCAGCGGAGCUUGGGGGCAGAGGCCGCUUUUGCAGGGAAGCAGAUCCCGACUCUAGUGCUUCCUCCUGCUCUCCCAAAACAGCUUUCAUUAUUAUUAUUUUAAUGAAAGGGGCGUGGUCACGGAGGUCCGUGGUUAGGCCCCGCCUCCGACUUUGCCUGGGCCUCGGUGGGUGUCUGUGUGGCUCUGCAGGACCUGGAGGGAUCUGCGGCAGUGUGGUGCAAUGAAGGGGCAUGCAGCAGUACUGUCAGCGCAGUACUAGCAGGAGGAGGCGGUCCAGCCAAUCCAGCCCCCCCUCUCACCUUUUCUUCCUCUCUCUACCGCUGUUGCCCAACAUCAUGAUCCCAAGAAAACCAGAAGAGGGGACCUGCUGCUGUCGGCGCUGAAAGGAGGACCAGCUGCUACCGGCACUGAUGAGAAGAGGGACCCGCCGCUGCCUGAGGCAGAAUCUACUUUUGUGACUCCCCCCACAAUCGAAUUGACCAGUUAUCUGGGAAGUCAGUCAUACCCCUGAUGAAGUCUUGAUGAGAAACGAAAUGCGAUCGGUUUAUGCAUUCUUUUGUGACUACUAGAUCUUCCUAGCAAGAGGUCGGGAGAAAGACUUAAUGUCAUAACAUGGAAGCUGUUCUAUUUAGUUGAUCAAAUAUAUGAAAAAUUCUUUGUUUUUAUAAAAGAAAGGACUCUUUCAAUAAAUCUGUUUGAUUGGAA